rnacentral:rRNA from 1 species
AUACGGAGGAUCCGAGCGUUAUCCGGAUUUAUUGGGUUUAAAGGGUGCGCAGGCGGCCAUUUAAGUCAGCGGUUAAAUCGUGGGGCUCAACCCCAUUCUGCCGUUGAUACUGGGUGGCUUGAUUGCGGUCGAGGUUGGCGGAAUUCGUUGUGUAGCGGUGAAAUGCAUAGAUAUGACGAAGAACACCGAUUGCGUAGGCAGCUGACCAGACCGCAAAUGACGCUCAUGCACGAAAGUGCGGGGAUCGAACAGGAUUAGAUACCCUGGUAGUCCACACAGUAAACGAUGAAUACUUGUUUUCGGCGAUAUAAUGUCGGAGGCAAAGCGAAAGCGAUAAGUAUUCCACCUGGGGAGUACGCCGGCAACGGUGAAACUCAAAGGAAUUGACGGGG